rnacentral:rRNA from 1 species
AAAUAUGCCGCCUGGGGAGUACAGUCGCAAGGCUGAAACUCAAAGGAAUUGACGGGGGCCCGCACAAGCGGUGGAGCAUGUGGUUCAAUUCGACGCAACGCGAAGAACCUUACCUGGGCUCGAACGGCUGGUUAACGGCGGUGGAAACAUCGCUACUCCGCAAGGGGGUCCAGUCGAGGUGCUGCAUGGCUGUCGUCAGCUCGUGUCGUGAGAUGUUGGGUUAAGUCCCGCAACGAGCGCAACCCUUGUCCUGUGUUGCCAUGUGGUUUCGUAAGAAGCCGCGGAACUCGCAGGAGACCGCCAGCGAUAAGCUGGAGGAAGGUGGGGAUGACGUCAAGUCCUCAUGGCCUUUAUGUCCAGGGCUACACACGUGCUACAAUGGCCGGUACAAAGCGCUGCAAGCCCGCGAGGGGGAGCCAAUCGCAAAAAACCGGUCUCAGUUCGGAUUGCAGGCUGCAACUCGCCUGCAUGAAGCUGGAAUCGCUAGUAAUGGCAGAUCAGCACGCUGCCGUGAAUACGUUCCCGGGCCUUGUACACACCGCCCGUCACAUCACGAAAGUGGAUUGUACUGGAAGUCUGCAGGCUGACCCGCAAGGGGGGCAGCGGCCCAAGGUAUGAUCCAUGAUUGGGGUGAAGUCGUAACAAGGUAGCCGUAGGAGAACCUGCGGCUGGAUCACCUCCUU